ACGGGAGGCAGCAGUGGGGAAUAUUAGGCAAUGGGGGAAACCCUGACCUAGCAACGCCGCGUGAAGGAUGAAGGUUUUCGGAUUGUAAACUUCUUUGGCAGGGGACGAUAAUGACGGUACCCUGAGAACAAGCCACGGCUAACUACGUGCCAGCAGCCGCGGUAAUACGUAGGUGGCAAGCGUUAUCCGGAUUUACUGGGUGUAAAGGGCGCGUAGGCGGGGAUGCAAGUCAGAUGUGAAAUCUAUGGGCUUAACUCAUAAACUGCAUUUGAAACUGUAUCUCUUGAGUGCUGGAGAGGUAGACGGAAUUCCUAGUGUAGCGGUGAAAUGCGUAGAUAUUAGGAAGAACACCAGUGGCGAAGGCGGUCUACUGGACAGUAACUGACGCUGAGGCGCGAAAGCGUGGGGAGCAAACAGGAUUAGAUACCCUGGUA
rnacentral:rRNA from 1 species